AGGGAAAAGUUCAACAUAUGAUGAUAACAAGGCUGCAAAACUUCAGAAAGUUCCAACUGAACCUGAGGCAGAAAAAGGAACAAAAAGAAAAUAUAAAUUAUGGACUGAAGAGAAUACUAAAGUAGUGGAUGUUUAUUUUAAGAGAUACAUUACAGAUACAUCUAGCUUGGACAACAAAGGGUCAUUGCCAGGAUCAAAAGAUGUAAGAGAGUUUCUUCAGAAGCAUCCAAUCCUUCAAGAUAUUGAAAUUAAAAAAAGGAUAACAGCCAUCAAGACAAAAAUCUUCAAUGAUAGAAAAGUUUACAGAGAAAAAAUUUCAAAGAAACUUAAGAAAAACCUCCAAAGUAUGUGAGCAUUCUGAAUAUCAUGCAUUCCAUAUAAUAGAUUGACUUGUAAUAGGCCUCUUAAUCUGUAAUCAUCCUCAUCUCUCAAACAACAGCCAGUAUCAUGUAAACUGAAUCAGAAUCAUCAUCUCUCCACCAACAGUCAGUCUUAUGUAAACUGAAUCAGCAUCAUCAUCUUUUACCAACAGCCAGUCUCAUAAUAACUGAAUCUGCAUCAACAUCUCUCCACCAACAGCCAGUCUCAUGUAAACUGAAUCAGCAUCAUCAUCUCUCCACCAACAGCCAGUCUUAUGUAAACUGAAUCAACAUCUCUCCACCAACAGCCAGUCUUAUGUAAACUGAAUCGGCAUCAACAUCUCUCCACCAACAGCCAGUCUCAUAACAUCUCUCAACCAACAGCCAGUCUAAUGUAAACUGAUUCGGCAUCAACAUCUCUCCAUCAACAGCCAGUCUUAUGUUAACUGAAUCGGCAUCAACAUCUAUCCACCAACAGCCAGUCUUAUGUAAACUGAAUCAGCAUCAUCAUCUAUCCACCAACAGCCAGUCUUAUGUAAACUGAAUCAGCAUCAUCAUCUAUCCACCAACAGCCAGUCUUAUGUAAACUGAAUCAACAUCUCUCCACCAACAGCCAGUCUUAUGUAAACUGAAUCGGCAUCAACAUCUCUCCACCAACAGCCAGUCUCAUAACAUCUCUCAACCAACAGCCAGUCUAAUGUAAACUGAUUCGGCAUCAACAUCUCUCCAUCAACAGCCAGUCUUAUGUUAACUGAAUCGGCAUCAACAUCUAUCCACCAACAGCCAGUCUUAUGUAAACUGAAUCAGCAUCAUCAUCUAUCCACCAACAGCCAGUCUUAUGUAAACUGAAUCAGCAUCAUCAUCUAUCCACCAACAGCCAGUCUUAUGUAAACUGAAUCAGCAUCAACAUCUAUCCACCAACAGCCAGUCUUAUGUAAACUGAAUCAGCAUCAUCAUCUCUCCACCAACAGCCAGUCUUAUGUAACGUGAAUCGGUAUUCUCAUCUCUCCACCAACAGCCAGUCUUAUGUUAACUGAAUCGGCAUUCUCAUCUCUCCACCAACAGCCAGUCUUAUGUUAACUGAAUCGGCAUUCUCAUCUCUCCACCAACAGCCAGUCUUAUGUAAACUGAAUCGGCAUCAACAUCUCUCCACCAACAGUCAGUCUUAUGUUAACUGAAUCAGCAUCAUCAUCUCUCCACCAACAGCCAGUCUUAUGUUAACUGAAUCAGCAUCAACAUCUCUCCACCAACAGUCAGUCUUAUGUAAACUGAAUCGGCAUCAACAUCUCUCCACCAACAGCCAGUCUCAUGUAAACUGAAUCAGCAUCAUCAUCUAUCCACCAACAGCCAGUCUUAUGUAAACUGAAUCGGCAUUCUCAUCUCUCCACCAACAGCCAGUCUUAUGUAAACUGAAUCGGAAUCAUCAUCUCUCCGCCAACAGCCAGUCUUAUGUAAACUGAAUCGGCAUCAACAUCUCUCCACCAACAGCCAGUCUUAUGUAAACUGAAUCUGCAUCCUCAUCUUUCCACCAACAGCCAGUCUUAUGUUAACUGAAUCGGAAUCAUCAUCUAUCUACCAACAGCCAGUCUUAUGUCAACUGAAUCAGCAUCAUCAUCUAUGUAAACUGAAUCAGCAUUCUCAUCUCUCCACCAACAGUCAGUCUCAAGUAAACUGAAUCGGCAUCAACAUCUCUCCACCAACAGCCAGUCUUAUGUUUACUGAAACAGCAUCCUCAUCUCUCCACCAACAGCCAGUCUUAUGUAAACUGAAUCGGCAUCAACAUCUCUCCACCAACAGCCAGUCUUAUGUAAACUGAAUCUGCAUCCUCAUCUUUCCACCAACAGCCAGUCUUAUGUUAACUGAAUCGGAAUCAUCAUCUAUCUACCAACAGCCAGUCUUAUGUUAACUGAAUCAGCAUCAUCAUCUAUGUAAACUGAAUCAGCAUUCUCAUCUCUCAACCAACAGUCAGUCUUAUGUAAACUGAAUCGGCAUCAACAUCUCUCCACCAACAGCCAGUCUUAUGUUAACUGAAUCAGCAUCAACAUCUCUCCACCAACAGCCAGUCUUAUGUUAACUGAAUCGGCAUCAACAUCUCUCCACCAACAGCCAGUCUUAUGUUAACUGAAUCGGCAUUCUCAUCUCUCAACCAACAGCCAGUUUUAUGUUAACUGAAUCGGAAUCAACAUCUCUCCACCGACAGCCAGUCUUAUGUUAACUGAAUCGGCAUCAACAUCUCUCCACCAACAGCCAGUCUUAUGUUAACUGAAUCGGCAUUCUCAUCUCUCCACCAACAGCCAGUCUUAUGUAAACUGAAUCAGCAUUCUCAUCUCUCCACCAACAGCCAGUCUUAUGUUUACUGAAUCGCAUCAACAUCUAUCCACCAACAGCCAGUCUCGUGUAAACUGAAUCAGCAUUCUCAUCUCUCCACCAACAGCCAGUCUUAUGUUAACUGAAUCGGCAUCAACAUCUCUCCACCAUCAGCCAGUCUUAUGUUAACUGAAUCGGCAUCAUCAUCUCUUUACCAACAGUUAGUCUUAUGUAAACUGAAUCGGCAUCAACAUCUCUCCACCAACAGCCAGUCUUAUGUAAACUGAAUCAGCAUUCUCAUCUCUCCACCAACAGCCAGUCUUAUGUUAACUGAAUCGGCAUCAACAUCUAUCCACCAACAGCCAGUCUCAUGUAAACUGAAUCAGCAUUCUCAUCUCUCCACCAACAGCCAGUCUUAUGUUAACUGAAUCGGCAUCAUCAUCUCUUUACCAACAGUUAGUCUUAUGUAAACUGAAUCGGCAUCAACAUCUCUCCACCAACAGCCAGUCUUAUGUAAACUGAAUCGGCAUCAUCAUCUCCCCACCAACAGCCGGUCUUGUGUUAACUGAAUCGGCAUCAACAUCUCUCUACCAACAGCCAGUAUCAUGUUAACUGAAUCAGCAUUCUCAUCUCUCCACCAACAGCCAGUCUUAUGUUAACUAAAUCGGCAUCAACAUCUCUCCACCAACAGCCAGUCUUAUGUAAACUGAAACAGCAUCCUCAUAUCUCCAUCAACAGCCAGUCUUAUUUUAACUGAAUCGGCAUCAACAUCUCUCUACCAACAGCCAGUCUGAUUUUAACUGAAUCCUCAUCAACAUCUCUCCACCAACAGCCAGUCUUAUGUAAACUGAAUCGGCAUCAAUAUCCCACCACCAACAGCGAGUCUUAUGUAAACUGAAUCGGAAUCAUCAUCUCUCCAUCAACAGCCAGUCUCAUUUUAACUGAAUCAGCACCAUCAUCUCCACUAACAGCCACUCUUAUGUAAACUGAAUCAGCAUCAUCACUCUCCACCAACAGCCAGUCUUAUGUAAACUGAAUCAGCAUCAUCAUCUAUCCACAAACAGCCAGUCUUAUGUAAACGGAUUCGGCAUUUUCAUCUCUCCACCAACAGCCAGUCUUAUGUAAACUGAAUCGGCAUCAUCUUCUCUCGUCCAACAGCCGGUGUUAUGUAAAUUGAAUCAGCAUCAUCAUUUCUCCACCAACAGACAGUCUUCUGUAAACUCAAUUGGCACAACAUCUCUCAACCAACCUGCUGGCUUAUUAUCCUCAUCUCACAACCAACAAACAGUCUGGCAUACACUGAAUAAGCAUCAUCUUCUUUCACCCAAUCAUGAGCCUAGUGUGUACUGAAUAAUCAUCUCUCUACCAACAAACAGUCUGGCGUAUAUUGAAUUAGCAUCAUCAUCUCCUAAGCAACAAACGGUCUGGCAUAUUUUGAAUAAGCAUCAUCAUAUCUCAGCCAAAAAACGGUCUGGCAUAUCUUGAGCUAGCAUAAUCAUCUUUCUACCAGCAAACAUUCUGGCAUAUACACUGAAUGAGCAUCGUCAUCUCUCUACCAAGAAACAGUCUGGCAUAUACUGAAUAAGGAAUAUCAUCUCUCAACCAACGAACAUCCUAGUUGUACUGCACUACCAUCCUCAUCUCUAAACCAACAGUCUGGCAGUAACUGAAUCAGCAUCACCAUCUCUCUACCAACAAACAGUCUAGCAUAUACUGAAUAAGCAUCAUCAUAUAUUAAGGAACAAACAGUAUAGCAUAUCCUGAAUUACCAUCAUCAUCUCUCGACCAACCAACAGUCUAGCAUAUACUGAAUAAGCAUCAUCAUAUAUCAAGGAACAAACAGUAUGGCAUAUCCUGAAUUAUAAUCAUCAUCUCUCUACCAACUAACAGACUAGCAUAUACUGAAUUAUCAUCAGUAUCUCUCAACAAACAACAGUCUGGAAUAUACUGAAUAAGCAUCAGCAUCUCUCAACCAACAAAAACUCUGGCAUAUACUGAAUUACCAUCAUCAUCUCUCAACAAACAACAGUCUGGCAUAUACUAAGUUAGUAUCAUUAUCUCUCAACAAACAACAGUCUGGCAUAUACUGAAUUAGCAUCAUCAUCUCUCAACAAACAACAGUCUGGCAUAUACUGAAUUAGCAUCAUCAUCUCUCAACCAACAAACAGCAUUGUAUGUACUGAAUUAGCAUCCUCAUCUUUAAACCAACUAGCAGUCUGGCAUAUAUUGAACUAGCAUCGUCAUAAUCCUACAAACAAACAGUCUGGCAUAUACUGAAUUAGCAUAAUCAUCUCUCUACAAACAAGACAGUCUGGCUUCUACUGAAUUACCAUUCUCAACUCUCAGGCAACAAACAGUCUAGCAUAUACUGAAUAAGCACCAUUAUCUUUCAACCAACAACCAGUAUGGCAUACACUGAAUAAGCAUCAUUAUCUUUCAACCAACAAACAGUUUGGCAUAAAUUGAAUAAGGAACAUCAUCUCUUAACCAACAAACAGUCUGGCAUAUAUUCCAUUAGCAUUAUUUUCAGUCUGGGAUGUACUAAAAUGACAAUCCUCAUGUCUCAACCAACAAACAGUCUUAUACUGAAUAACCAUCAUCAUGUUUCAACAAAUAAAACGUUUGGCAUAUACUGAAUUAGCAACAUCAUCCUUCAACCAACAGUCUGGCAUAAACUGAAGAAACGGCAUCAUCUUUCAACCAACAAACAGUCUGGUAUAUACUGAAUAAGCAUCAUAAUCUCUCAACCAACAGACUGUCUGGCAUAUAUUGAUUCAGCAUCAUCAUCUUUCUACCAACAAACAGUCUGGCUUAUACUGAAUUACAAUUUCAUCUCUCAACCAACAAACAGUCUGGCAUAUACCUAAUUAGCAUCAUCAUCUUUCAACCAACAACAGUCUUGCAUAUAUACUGAAUAAGCAUCAUACUCUUUCAACCACCGAGAAGUCUGGCUUAUACCGAAUUAGCAUUAUCAUCUGUUAACAAACAAACACUCUGGCUUAUACUGAAUUAGCAUAAUCAUCUCUCUACCAACAAACAGCCUGGCUUAUACUGAAUUAGCAUCAUUUUCUCUCAACAUACAAUAGUCUGGCAUAUACUGAAUUAGCAUCAUCAUCUCUCAACUAACAAACAGCAUAGUGUGUACUGAAUAAGCAUCUUCAACACUAAACCAACUAGCAGUCUGGCAUAUAUUGAACAAGCCUCGUCAUCUCUCUACCAACAAACAGUCUGGCAUAUACUGAAAUAGCAAAAUCAUCUCUAAACCAACAAACAGUCUGGCAUAUACUGAAUUAGUAUCAUCUUUCAACCAACAAACAGUCUGGCAUAUACUGAAUAAGCAUCAUCAUCUUUCAACCAACAAACAGUCUGGCAUAUACCUAAUUAGCAUCAUCAUCUUUCAACCAACAAACAGUUUGGCAUAUACCUAAUUAGCAUCAUCAUCUUUCAACCAACAAACAGUCUGGCAUAAACUAAACAAGUAACAUUAUCUCUUAACCAACAAACAGUCUGGCAUAUAUUCCAUUAGCAUUAUCUUCUAUACCAACAAACAGUCUGGGAUGUACUUAAUGACAAUCCUCAUGUCUCAACCAACAAACAGUCUGGUAUAUAUAAAUUCAGCAUCUUCAUCUCUCAACCAACAAACAAUCUGGUACAUACUGAAUUAACAUCAGCAUCUCUUUACGAACAAACAGUCUGGCACAUACCGAAUUACCAGCCUGGUGGGUACUGAACCAACAUCAUGAUCUCUUAAGCUAAAAACAGCCUAAUGUGUACUGAACUAGCAUCAUCAUGUCUCCACCUACUGACAGCAUGGUGUGAUUUGAAUCAACAUUAGCACAUCUCAUUAUUAGACAUACUUGUGUGAACUGAGUCAGCCUUCUCAUCUCUCCAUGACAGAUAACCAUGUUUAAAUUUCAUCAGCAGCAUCAUCUCUCAGCCAACAGACAAUCUAGUAUCGACUUAGAUAAGCCUACACAUCUCUCCACCAACAGACAGCCUGGUCUAAACUGGAACAGCCUUUUAAUCUAAAAACUAACAGCCAGCCUGGACUGUACAGAAUCAGCAUCCUCAUCGCUCCAUUUACAGAUAGUCUGGUGUGUACUGAUACAGACCUCCAUAUCUCGUGAUCAACAGAUAUCAUGGUUUGUACUGAAACAGAUUUUCAUCUAUCAACCAACAAACAACCUGGUGUGUUAUUAAUCAGCAUCAUCAUCCCUCCACCAACAGAAAAACAGCUGAGGCCAACAAGAAUUGACUUUUAGGAAUGAUGUUUGUGCCAUAUGAUAAGUAACAACUACUUAAGUUUAUUUUUCCUACACUUUUAGUUGUGACCUGCAGCAGAUAUUUUAGUCAUUAUUUCACCAUUGUAAAGCCCUGCAGCUGAAGAGUCUCAGAAAAUGCUAAGUAUGUUACUGCUUUACCAUAGCUUAUAAUAUAUAUGAUUAAAGGUUUACCACAGCUUAUAUAAAAUUUUGUUUAAAGGUACUAUAAAUGUUGGCGUAAAAUGCAAGUUUUGUUUUAAUUAGCUUUAAGGAUUAUAGUUAAAAUAGUACAUACAAAAAACUUGAAACCCUAUUUUUAUAUGACCAUAAAUUUUUGCGGUCUUGCUGCUGUUCAACAUUAUCGGCCACAAAUAUAGUUUCCUGACUAAAACUGAAGUAUUUGCUCAAUUGUUAAUAAUUUUAACUUAAGGAGGCUUGCGGGUAAAAGAUUUUCAAAAAAAAAAAUAAACAUUAAUUUUUCAAUACAAAUUUUAUUUAUAACCUUUAAUAGUUAUAACUUUAUCAUUUGGUACAAAAAUCGUUCCAAAAAAUCAAUUUGUGUUGACCCCAGAUGACUUUUAAAAUGUAGAUAUCAUGUUAAAAGCUCCAAAUUAUCUCCCUUUGGUGCAAAAAUGCCAUUUUUUGGCAUUAAAAUUGAAAUAUCUUUUUUAACUUAUCGGUGACCUAUAUUUUUUAUUGUUGUUUUCAAAUAAGCUGUACAUAAACUAAAUAAUUGUUAAAUUUGAGCGAUUUCUGUAAUUCAGUUCUUUUUUGAUUUCGAUAUUACCGUUUUUUCUCCUAUUAGUUCAACGGAAAAAAAGGACAUCAACAAAAAUGUUUGCUUCUUUCGAAGGCAGAUUGUGAGCGUAAAUGAACGGUGACCCCAUUUUUUUAUUUCAUUUUUCUAUUAAGUAUAAGAUAAAGUUCAUUUAUAGAAAAAUAAAGAGAAAUCCUAUAUUAAAUAAAAAAAAUCAUUUAGACCCGCGAGCCCCCUUAACGUUAAUGAAUGUGUGUAUCGUGAGUUUCUCUCACUGACAACACUGGAUAAUAGCUAAGUGCUAUAUGCUAAUGACUAAAAAAUUAACCUUGUUAAACUUAUAUUUUGUGACUUCAAUAACUUGUAUUUAAAAGGGAAGUUACAAACAUAUGUUAAAUAAAAAUAUAGAUUCUAUAUCAAUGAAACUGAAUUAAUCACGGAAUGUAAAAUAUAUUUCUGUUUGAUUUUGGUUUUAUUAUCUCAAGAUGAUAUGCUAAUGACUAAAAAAUUAACCUUGUUAAACUUAUAUUUUGUGACUUCAAUAACUUGUAUUUAAAAGGGAAUUACAAACAUAUGUUAAAUAAAAAUAUAGAUUCUAUAUCAAUGAAACUGAAUUAAUCACGGAAUGUAAAAUAUAUUUCUGUUUGAUUUUGGUUUUAUUAUCUCAAGAUGAUCUAGGCUUCACCCCC